rnacentral:rRNA from 1 species
UACGGAGGGUGCAAGCGUUAUCCGGAUUCACUGGGUUUAAAGGGUGCGUAGGUGGGUUGGUAAGUCAGUGGUGAAAUCUCCAGGCUUAACUUGGAAACUGCCAUUGAUACUAUCAAUCUUGAAUACCGUGGAGGUCAGCGGAAUAUGUCAUGUAGCGGUGAAAUGCUUAGAUAUGACAUAGAACACCAAUCGCGAGGGCAGCUGGCUACACGAAUAUUGACACUGAUGCACGAAAGCGUGGGGAUCAAACAGG